rnacentral:lncRNA from 1 species
UAAUUUUGACAAUUUAACCUUAAAUAUAUUUUAUUAAGAAAUAAUUAUCUAUAUACCCUUCAAAACUUUUGAAAUAUCUCAUAUUUCCCUUUUUUUAUUUCAAAUAUAUCGUCGUAUAUUACUCCGUUGUCCAAAAAUAACUUCGCUGUCAGUAUCUAUUAAGUCAUAAAAAGAGAUAAAAAAUACCUCUUUUGCUCCUAGCUUAAGGAUAAAUAAGAAAAGUUGGUAACGGUAGAAAGAUAUAUUUGAAAGAUCAAAAAACUAAUUUUAUAGAGAUAUAAACAGUUGUUCCUAACAGUUUGAUCACUGACAAAAUUUAACUUUAAGAGUAUAUUUUAAAAAAUUUGGUACGUUAAAAGGAUAAUUUUUUUAUAUUUGCUUUCUAAGAAGGGUAAAUAAGAAAGUUUAAAAUUUUUCAAGAAUAUAUAAGUAAUUUUCUCUUUUAUUAAAUUAUUUCAAUAAGUCCCUCUGCUUUACGUACUAGAGUUACUAAUUAUAUAGCCCUUUUAGAUCGGCUGUCGAACGCAUAAUCUUACAAGACUUCAAAAUAUAAAAAAAAUCGGUCUUUUCUCCUCCAUUUUUAUAAUUAAUUACAUAUGACAAUUGAAAAACAGAUGAACCUAACUUUGAUUUUUGUUACUUCUUUUAUAUGCUCGAAUAGAAAAAUUAAAUCUUUUAUG